rnacentral:tRNA from 1 species
GGCGCAGUGGCAGAGUGGUCUAAUGCGAUAGACUAGAAAUCUAUUCUCUGUCUGUUCGAAUCAGGCCAGGCCUGCGUCG